ensembl:misc_RNA 7SK 7SK RNA
GAAUGUGAGCGUGCUCUGGCUGCGACAUCUGUCGUUGAUUGAUUGCCAGGGUUGACUUGGCUGAUCUGGCUGGCUAGGAGGGUGCUCUCUCUCCUGCCCUCAUCACUCCGUGUGCAUCGCUCCUGAAACUGUGCUCUCCGUGGAAGAGGGUGAGCUUCCUUCAUGGAGAAGGACGUUUCUUCCAUCACGGGUAUAUGAAAAGCUGUGUUACCCUGUUAGAGUCUCCAAACAAGCUCUCAAGAGUACACGUGGUCUAAAUGAUUAUGUUAUAAUACAAAUUAUAUAUACAUAUGUAU